rnacentral:rRNA from 1 species
UACGUAGGGGGCAAGCGUUGUCCGGAUUUAUUGGGCGUAAAGAGCGUGUAGGCGGCCAGACAGGUCCGUUGUGAAAACUCGAGGCUCAACCUCGAGAUGUCGAUGGAAACCGUCUGGCUAGAGUCCGGAAGAGGAGUGUGGAAUUCCUGGUGUAGCGGUGAAAUGCGCAGAUAUCAGGAAGAACACCGAUGGCGAAGGCAGCACUCUGGGACGGUACUGACGCUGAGACGCGAAAGCGUGGGGAGCAAACAGG